GAGUUUGAUCAUGGCUCAGGACGAACGCUGGCGGCGUGCCUAAUACAUGCAAGUCGAACGCUUUUUUCAAUCAUCGUAGCUUGCUACACCGAUUGAAAAUUGAGUGGCGAACGGGUGAGUAACACGUGGGUAACCUGCCCAAAAGAGGGGGAUAACACUUGGAAACAGGUGCUAAUACCGCAUAACCAUGAUGACCGCAUGGUCAUUAUGUAAAAGAUGGUUUCGGCUAUCACUUUUGGAUGGACCCCGCGGCGUAUUAACUUGUUGGUGGGGUAACGGCCUACCAAGGUGAUGAUACGUAGCCGAACUGAGAGGUUGAUCGGCCACAUUGGGACUGGGACACGGCCCAAACUCCUACGGGAGGCAGCAGUAGGGAAUCUUCCACAAUGGGCGCAAGCCUGAUGGAGCAACGCCGCGUGAAGGAGAAGGCUUUCGGGUGUAAACUUCUUUUGUCAGGGAAGAGUAG
rnacentral:rRNA from 1 species